UACGUAGGGUGCGAGCGUUGUCCGGAUUUAUUGGGCGUAAAGAGCUCGUAGGCGGUUUGUCGCGUCGGCCGUGAAAUCUCCACGCUUAACGUGGAGCGUGCGGUCGAUACGGGCAGACUUGAGUUCGGUAGGGGAGACUGGAAUUCCUGGUGUAGCGGUGAAAUGACGCAGAUAUCAGGAGGAACACCGGUGGCGAAGGCGGAUCUCUGGGCCUUACCUGACGCUGGAGGCGCGAAAGCUAGGGGAGCGAACAGG
rnacentral:rRNA from 1 species